GAUGAAGAACGCAGCGAAAUGCGAUAAGAAAUGUGAAUUGCAGAAUUCAGUGAAUCAUCGAAUCUUUGAACGCACCUUGCACCCUUUGGUAUUCCGAAGGGUAUGCUCGUUUGAGUGUCAUUGUACUCUCACACUUCUAAUUCCUUUCGGGAUUGGGAGCGGUGGACUUGGGUGUUGCUGCUUUAGUUGUGGCUCACCUCAAAUAAGUUAGUGCAACUCUUGGUUGGACAUAGUACGGCGUGAUAAGUGUCUUCGCCGGCGCCUCUGUAAGGAGGGUGGCCGAUCGGGAGCUCUGUGCUUCAAACCGUCUUCGGACAAUCUUUGACAACUUGACCUCAAAUCGAGUAGGACUACCCGCUGAACUUAAGCAUAUCAAUAAGCGAGGA
rnacentral:misc_RNA from 1 species